AACGGCCGUACCAUGGUGAAUAUACCGGUUCUCGUUAGAUCACCGAAGUUAAGCAUCAUUGGGCGCGGUCAGUACUUGGGUGGGUGACCACUUGGGAACACUGCGUGCCGU
rnacentral:rRNA from 1 species